CCUACGGGAGGCAGCAGUGAGGAAUAUUGGUCAAUGGGCGCGAGCCUGAACCAGCCAAGUAGCGUGAAGGAUGACUGCCCUACGGGUUGUACACUUCUUUUAUAAAGGAAUAAAGUGAGGCACGUGUGCCUUUUUGUAUGUACUUUAUGAAUAAGGAUCGGCUAACUCCGUGCCAGCAGCCGCGGUAAUACGGAGGAUCCGAGCGUUAUUCGGAUUUAUUGGGUUUAAAGGGAGCGUAGAUGGGUUGUUAAGUCAGUUGUGAAAGUUUGGAGCUCAACCGUAAAAUUGCAAUUGAUACUGGCAGUCUUGAGUACAGUUGAGGUAGGUGGAAUUCGUGGUGUAGCGGUGAAAUGCUUAGAUAUCACGAAGAACUCCGAUUGCGAAGGCAGUUCACUGGACUGCAACUGACACUGAGGCACGAAAGUGCGGGGAUCGAACAGGAGUAGAUACCCCAGUAGUC
rnacentral:rRNA from 1 species